CUACGAGGGGCUCCAGUGAGGAAUAUUGCACAAUGGGGGGAACCCUGAUGCAGCAACGCCGCGUGAAGGAUGACGCAUUUCGGUGUGUAAACUCCUUUUAUAUGUCAAGAAAAUGACGGUAGCAUAUGAAUAAGCACCGGCUAACUCCGUGCCAGCAGCCGCGGUAAUACGGAGGGUGCAAGCGUUACUCGGAAUCACUGGGCGUAAAGGACGCGUAGGCGGGUUGGAAAGUCAGGUGUGAAAUCCUACAGCUUAACUGUAGAACUGCACUUGAAACUUCUAAUCUAGAGUAUGGGAGGGGGAGAUGGAAUUAGUGGUGUAGGGGUAAAAUCCGUAGAUAUCACUAGGAAUACCUAAAGCGAAGGCGAUCUCCUGGAACAUUACUGACGCUAAGGCGUGAAAGCGUGGGGAGCAAACAGGAUUAGAUACCCCAGUAGUC
rnacentral:rRNA from 1 species